rnacentral:rRNA from 1 species
AGUGAACGCUGGCGGUAGGCCUAACACAUGCAAGUCGAACGGCAGCACAGUAAGAGCUUGCUCUUACGGGUGGCGAGUGGCGGACGGGUGAGGAAUACAUCGGAAUCUACUUUUUCGUGGGGGAUAACGUAGGGAAACUUACGCUAAUACCGCAUACGACCUACGGGUGAAAGCAGGGGGUCUUCGGAACUUGCGCGAUUGAAUGAGCCGAUGUCGGAUUAGCUAGUUGGCGGGGUAAAGGCCCACCAAGGCGACGAUCCGUAGCUGGUCUGAGAGGAUGAUCAGCCACACUGGAACUGAGACACGGUCCAGACUCCUACGGGAGGCAGCAGUGGGGAAUAUUGGACAAUGGGCGCAAGCCUGAUCCAGCCAUACCGCGUGGGUGAAGAAGGCCUUCGGGUUGUAAAGCCCUUUUGUUGGGAAAGAAAAGCAGCAGGUUAAUACCCCGCUGUUCUGACGGUACCCAAAGAAUAAGCACCGGCUAACUUCGUG